AUGUAUUUGGACAUUAUUAAGUCGGGUUCCAUUCCAAGAUCUUUGCAUAUCUGGAAAGUCAAAGUGCCCUUAAGAAUGAAGGUCUUCAUGUGGUUUGUCCACAAGGAAGUGAUUCUGACUAAGGACAACUUGGCAAAACGCAAUUUGGAAGGAUCACGGAGAUGUAGUUUCUGCGACCAUGAUGAAUCUAUCAAACACCUCUGUUUGGAUUGUCCGAUGGCCAAAGUUUUAUGGCACUCAGUACAUAUGGCGUUUAAUAUAUCUCCUCUAAAUAGCAUUUACACGUUAUUUGGGACGUGGCUAAAUGAAGUAGAGACAGAGACAUGGAAAUAUAUCCGUGUAGGAGUAUGUGCUUUAUUAUGGGCUAUAUGGAACUGCAUGAACGAUUUGGCUUUUAACAGGAAAACACAUAUCCAUUCUUUUGCAGGUUAUCUUCAGGGCCACUGCUUUGAUCCAUAUGUGGUUGCUAUUCACUCAGAAGGAUGUCAAGGAGCAUUUGAUUACUGGGUCUACCCGUUGGGAGAUGGUAGUUCGGGCUAUGACGGUCAUAUAAUAGGAUAG
rnacentral:rRNA from 1 species